rnacentral:rRNA from 1 species
AGAGAGAGACAUGCGCGCAUAUCAAUAAGCGGAGGAAAAGAAACUAACAAGGAUUCCCUUAGUAACGGCGAGUGAAGCGGGAAGAGCUCAAAUUUGAAAUCUUCAAGGUUUUACCUUGACGAAUUGUAGUUUAAAGAAGUGUUUUCUGCUGAAGUUUUGGUAAAAGUUCUUUGGAAUAGGACAUCAUAGAGGGUGAGAAUCCCGUAUUUGACCAUUAUUUCCAGCUUUGUGAUACACUUUCAAAGAGCCGGAUUGUUUGGGAAUGCAGUCCAAAAUGGGUGGUAAAUUUCAUCUAAAGCUAAAUAUUGGCGAGAGACCGAUAGCGAACAAGUACCGUGAGGGAAAGAUGAAAAGAACUUUGAAAAGAGAGUUAAACAGUACGUGAAAUUGUCAAAAGGGAAGCGUUUGACACCAGUGUUGUUUUCUCGAAAAUCAAUUAAAAAUGGCUCGAUUUUGUAUUGUUGAGACCUUAAAAGCUCACUGUACAUUUUUCGUGUCUUUUUAAUGCACUUUUCGCUUAACAAGUCAACAUCAGUUUCUUUUGUUGUAAAAGGGUCAUUGGAAGGUGGCUUUCUUUUCGGAGAAAGUGUUUAUAGCCUUUGGCCUCUGCAAUCGGAAGAGACUGAGGUCUGCAGCGUAGACUCUUCGGGGUUAGAUACAUUUGUGCUAAGUUAUAGCUUUUUAUAGACAACUUGUUGACUAUAAUUAGUCUUGUAGCUUACUCGCUUAUGCUAUUUUACCUACGCUUAGGAUGUUGAAGUCAUCGUAUCGCGC